rnacentral:rRNA from 1 species
UACGGAGGGUGCAAGCGUUAUCCGGAUUCACUGGGUUUAAAGGGUGCGUAGGAGGGCAGGUAAGUCAGUGGUGAAAUCUCCGGGCUUAACCCGGAAACUGCCGUUGAUACUAUUUGUCUUGAAUAUUGUGGAGGUAAGCGGAAUAUGUCAUGUAGCGGUGAAAUGCUUAGAAAUGACAUAGAACACCAAUUGCGAAGGCAGCUUACUACAGGAAUAUUGACACUGAUGCACGAAAGCGUGGGGAUCAAACAGG